ACAGGCUCAGAAAACCCCUUGGAAGAGGUCCCACUUGCAGAACUAUAGCCACAAUAGGCCCCACCACCUGAUGAAAUUUACAACAAUCUACCUUCACUCUCUAAGCAGAAUGGAUCCUGUACCAGGCAAACAGGAAGAAAAGAGAGGGAUUCUAAUUAAAUCAAUUGAAGCUUUUCUAUUUCGCAAGACUCUGCCAGAAGAUGUGUGUAGCUGAAGAAUUUUAAGUGGAAAGAGGCAACCUCCCAUAAAUCUUCCUU
rnacentral:lncRNA from 10 species